rnacentral:rRNA from 1 species
GAGUUUGAUCCUGGCUCAGAACGAACGCUGGCGGCGUGCUUAACACAUGCAAGUCGAACGUGAUCCAGAGCUUGCUCUGGUGAAAGUGGCGCACGGGUGAGUAACGCGUGGAUAACCUGCCCUGGUAUCUGGGAUAACAUCUCGAAAGGGGUGCUAAUACCGGAUAAGCCUACGGGCUCUUCGGAGUCUGCAGGAAAAGGAGGCCUCUAUUUAUAAGCUUCCGUAUCAUGAUGGGUCCGCGUACCAUUAGCUAGUUGGUGGGGUAAUGGCCUACCAAGGCGACGAUGGUUAGCUGGUCUGAGAGGAUGAUCAGCCACACUGGAACUGAGACACGGUCCAGACUCCUACGGGAGGCAGCAGUGGGGAAUUUUGCGCAAUGGGGGAAACCCUGACGCAGCAACGCCGCGUGAGUGAUGAAGGCUUUCGGGUCGUAAAGCUCUGUCAGAGGGGAAGAAAUGAAACGUGCUAAUAUCACGUUUUCUUGACGGUACCCUCAAAGGAAGCACCGGCUAACUCCGUGCCAGCAGCCGCGGUAAUACAAGGGCGMMYY